AUUUUCGUCUUGCAGCCCUUUCGCAUUAUGCAUCAUGGUAGUUAAAAUUGAUUUUAAAUCAAUCAGCGUAGAGGAGGAACGACUCAAAAUUUCUGCGAAUGAUAAGAUCUGUGAUAUUGAUAUCUGUGAUGUGAUUGGGUGUCACCUCUCAGAGGAACCAGCUGGAUUCUUGUCUGCUCUUUUUGGGUCCUAUCCUUACCUUGUCGUCAGGUACAUCUCUAAAGGUAAAGACUACAAGUGGACAGCAGAAACUCUGCAGGUCGCAGGGUCGAAAGAGGAAUGUGAGGCACUACAGAACAAAAUCAAUGGAAUACUAGGUCAAGCUAAUCUCAGACCUAGGAGACUCGGAAUCUUUAUUAACCCUGUUGGAGGAGGCGGAAAUUCUCUGAAUGUGUACAAAAACGUUGUCCAUCCAUUGUUUAAGGCAGCAAACAUCAAAUGUGAUGUCAAUGUUUCUGAACGACCAAAGCACAUGAUUGACCUGAUAAACUGUUUUGACACGGCUAGUGUUGAUGGGUUAUAAUAGUAGGAGGUGACGGAAGUUUACUUGAAGUCCUCAACUGUCUCCUGACCCGAGCUCAAAAAGAGGCUGAUUUGGAUUACGAUCAACCUACUUGUAAACUUAAACCAUUGGAGGUACCAAUCGGCAUCAUACCAACAGGUACAGGAAAUGGUACAGCCAGAGGUCUCUAUGGUAACAUGGACGUGGUUACGGCGGUCCUCCAUAUUAUCAGGGGUCGCACAAAUUAUAAUAAUAUUCAGGCAGUAUACAGCGGUGGAAAAAUGGUGUCUUUCAGCGGUGUUGUUAUUGCUUGUGGGUUGUUCACAGACAUUAUGUAUGAAACGGAUCGACAGAGGUGGCUGAAAAGAGCAAGAUAUUCAGUUAUACCUCUGUAUAUGCUACUUUUUAAAAGACCGAGACUAUUCAAAGUGAAAUUAUCUAUCUUUUCAGGCAAAUCAACUUCAAAUGACGACUCAAUGGAAGCACAGGACUUAGGUGAAGUGAGAAGUGUGAUGUCUCUAUAUGGUGAUUUCUUUAACAAUGCAACAGAUUCGAAAAUGGAUUUUGUUAAGUUGUCUCGAGAAAGUAGGAAAACAGAUGUCUUCACACUCCUUGCCUUUAAAGAAUCAGGGAGACUGGAAUUCAUGUCUUCUUUUCUUCUGUUUUUGUCUUUUACUAGAUCCCUGUUCCAGAAGGACUUUAUUGCUCCAUACACAGUUACGGGAUACAGAGUAAAGAUACUUAGUGGUGACAAGAACUUGCCUCAGGACGCACACGUAGCAAGGAUGAAUAAUUUACUUGAUGUAGACGGGGAAAUGAUUGACUUGGUUGAUGGGGAAUAUGAAGUUUGAUACAUGUAGUUUUGAAAGCACGGAACAUACCAGUACCUACUCUUCUGGAAUCAUAUCAGGAUGGUCAAAUUUUACACUUCUCAUUGAGUACAAUUUGUAUCCAGAUCUCCUGGUGUGAAACGGAUAUGCUUAGAAAGCUACUGUAUUAAGUAAAUGGAAUGACACUGUUGAAUUCAUAAUCAUAUACCAUAAAUUUUUAUGCAUACGUAUGCGCGUGAGUGCGUGUCAAUCCUUAUACAUGUACUAGUAUCUCAUUUUUAUAUAAUAAUUUCUUAUUUCAUAUGCAAUUAUACUUGUUGAAUAUGUUAUUGGCAUUUCCAGAAGUCUGAUAAUUUUUUUGGUUGUCACUGUUUCAGGUUUUUUUUAAGCGAUGAAUUGGAAUAAUUUCAUCUAUUAUAUAUUCAUGAACGAGUAAACAGAAUAACAAAG
rnacentral:misc_RNA from 1 species